AUGGAUCUCCCAGACCUCAACUUCACUCCACCUGCAGAAGAUUUGGACAAAAUGGAUGAAGAUGCAGAAAAUGAAAUGGAAGGAGAUGCAAAAGAUGGAAUGGAAGGAGAUGAAAUUGUUCAAAAUCCAGGUGUUGGGCAAGUUGGUAGAAAAAAUAAAACCCUCAAUGACCAGCAAAAAUUUGCUGCUUAUGUAGCAUUGCAUACACUGUGUAUGAGUAGAGGAGGCACUUUUAAGAGAACUGAUACGCAAGACAUUGCAAAAAUUUUUGGAGUGGGUGUUUGGAAUAUACAAAGAAUUUGGAGGAAAGCAAUGUUGCAAAUUCAACAAGGUUUAACAUGA
rnacentral:rRNA from 1 species